rnacentral:rRNA from 1 species
UACAGAGGUCUCGAGCGUUAGGCGGAAUCACUGGGCUUAAAGCGUGUGUAGGUGGAUCGUUAAGUACCUUGUGAAAUCCCACGGCUUAACCGGGGAACUGCGUCUGAUACUGGAUGGCUUGAGUUCGGGAGAGGGAUGCGGAAUUCCAGGUGUAGCGGUGAAAUGCGUAGAUAUCUGGAGGAACACCGGUGGCGAAGGCGGCAUCCUGGACCGAUACUGACGCUGAUGAGCGAAAGCCAGGGGAGCAAACAGGG